rnacentral:tRNA from 1 species
GCCGGAGUGGCGAAAUGGUAGACGCGCGAGACUCAAAAUCUUGUAUGGGCAACCAUGUGUCGGUUCGAGUCCGACCUCCGGUACCA